rnacentral:rRNA from 1 species
UACGAAGGGGGCUAGCGUUGUUCGGAAUUACUGGGCGUAAAGCGCACGUAGGCGGAAUGUUAAGUCAGGGGUGAAAUCCCGGGGCUCAACCCCGGAACUGCCUUUGAUACUGGCAUUCUCGAGUCCGGAAGAGGUGAGUGGAAUUCCGAGUGUAGAGGUGAAAUUCGUAGAUAUUCGGAGGAACACCAGUGGCGAAGGCGGCAUCCUGGACCAACACUGACGCUGAGGAGCGAAAGCCAGGGGAGCAAACGGG